rnacentral:rRNA from 1 species
UUUUAAUUCAACAUCGAGGUAGCAAACUUAAUUGUUAAUAAGAACUCUUAAAUUAAAUUACUCUGUUAUCCCUAGAGUAACUUUAAAAUUUACCAUUCAAGAUCAAAAAUUUUUAUCUUCAACUAUUGCCCCAACUAAAAUAUAAAACCCUACUUAAUUAUUCUUAAAUAAAUAUUUUAUUUAUAAGCUUCUAGGGUCUUCUCGUCCCAAAAUAUUAUAAAAGCAUUUUUACUUUUAAUUAAAAUUCAAAAUUAUUUAAUAAAACCUUCCUCUUAGUACUAUUCUUUCAUUCCAGUCUUCAAUUAAAAAA